rnacentral:rRNA from 1 species
GGGCGUUCCCCCUUCGGGGGGACAGGGUGACAGGUGGUGCAUGGUUGUCGUCAGCUCGUGUCGUGAGAUGUUGGGUUAAGUCCCGCAACGAGCGCAACCCUCGACCUUAGUUGCCAGCAUUCAGUUGGGCACUCUAAGGUGACUGCCGGCUAAAAGUCGGAGGAAGGUGGGGAUGACGUCAAAUCAUCAUGCCCCUUAUGACCUGGGCUACACACGUGCUACAAUGGUUGGUACAACGAGUUGCGAGUCGGUGACGGCGAGCUAAUCUCUUAAAGCCAAUCUCAGUUCGGAUUGUAGGCUGCAACUCGCCUACAUGAAGUCGGAAUCGCUAGUAAUCGCGGAUCAGCACGCCGCGGUGAAUACGUUCCCGGGCCUU